rnacentral:rRNA from 1 species
GACGAACGCUGGCGGCGUGCUUAAUACAUGCAAGUCGAACGGAAAGACCCUGCUUUUGUGGGGUGCUCGAGUGGCGAACGGGGGUGUAACACGUGAGUAACAUGUCCUUGUCUUUGGGAUAACACCAGGAAACUGGGGCUAAUAUCGGAUAGGAGCUCCUGCUGCACGGGGGGGGUUGGAAAGAUUCGGCGGUUGUAGCUGGACUCGCGGCUUAUCAGCUGGUUGGUGGGGUAGUGGCUUCCCAGGGCUAUGGCGGGUAGCCGGCCUUGGAGGGUGACCGGCCUCCUUGCGCCUGCGAUACGGCGCAGACUCCUACGUGACGCAGAAGUGGGGAACCUUGCGCAGUGAGCGGGCGCCUGUUGCAGCAGCGCCGCGUGCGUGAUGACGUGCUUCGAGUUAUAAACCGCUUUGGCCUGUACCGAAGCCUGCGUGACGGUACUGGGUAAGAAAGCCCCGGCUAACUACGUG